CUCUUAUAUACUCUUGCUGUGAUAAUUGCUCCUUAUUUUCAUACAGAGCCUUAUUCUGAACAAGAAGAUCAGCCUCUUUUUCCUUCAGCUUCUUAAAACGCUCUCCUAAAGGAGGAAGUCCUUCAAUAAUGGUACGUCUAAGAUAUUCAUUUGACCGUGCUUGUUUAAAGAACUGAUGUUUCAAAAGCUUUUCUGAGGUGGGACGUUUCUUUGGAUCCUUCACUAAGCAAGCAGCUACCAUCUCUUUAAAUGACUUAGAAAAUUUCUUGUCUCUUUCAUAGUCAAGUCCUGGAGGUGCAUUUUGUAAAGUCAUCAGCAAAACUUUCAUUGGUGGAUACUUGGAGAAAGGAGCAUGGCCAUGAGCAAGUUCAAGAGCAGUUAUUCCAAAUGACCAAAUGUCUGCUUUAAAGUCAUAUCCAUGUAAUUGCUGCAUAACUUCAGGAGCCAUCCAGCACGGAGUUCCAACAAAGGUAUUUCUGGAUCGCUGC
rnacentral:misc_RNA from 1 species